GCCCCAAGUCCGGGCAAGGUUUUUGUGGAAGGCCAGCAGUCGCCCGUGCAUAACAGCCUCCCAUCUCCACACCACUAUUGUUAUCCAAUGGAAAGGCAAAGACCGAUACAGCUUUACACCAGGACAAUUACAACUCAUUUCUAC